rfam:Salmo salar isolate Sally breed double haploid chromosome ssa21, whole genome shotgun sequence.
UGCAUUCACUACUGUGAGUCGCUCUGGAUAAGAGCGUCUGCUAAAUAAAUGACU